CAUUAAGUAUCUUUUGAAAACAUUUUAAUAAUCAUAUCAUUUAUCUUAUGGUAUCACAUGAAAAAUUUAACUGUUCUCUUAUUUCUGUUCCUGGAUAUUUAGAUUUUUCUGUGUUAGAAAAUAUAUACCCUUUGAGUAUAAAAAUAAAUUCUAGAAAACUGAUCUGAAAUUCUUUAAUUACAUCUAUGAUUAUUUUCUUAUAAUAGAUUUCCAAGAUUACCAGGUCAACAUGAAUAAGCAUUUUAAAGACUUUAUAUAUACUGUCAUAUUUCUUAAAAUUUAUACUAAAUUUCACUCCUCCCUGGAGUAUCAGAGGAUAUUCAUCUUACAGCGCUUUCAGAAGUAUUAAGCAUUAUCAUUUUUUAAUAGAAUAUUUGCCAGUUUUUUGUUUGCAUUUCUUAUAUUAUGGGUAAUGUUGCACAUCUUUUUCUAUAUUUGUUGGCAACUUGAUUUUCUUCUUUGAUACAUUUCUGUACUUUUUCUUAACUGGUAAUUUUUACCUUUUAAUUUCUUAAAAGGUAAUUUUUCUUAACUGGGCUUAGUACUGGAAUCCAGGGACAAAUGACAGAGCAGGUUGUCCUCUCUCCACCAUGUUUUUCAAAUGCUUAUUAAUUAGCUGGCUUUACUGAUUAUGAGUUUGUUUCUAAGACUAAGUGCACACCUUAAAAAUAUAUUAAGUAGUUUUUUUGUAUUUUGUUUUGCUUACCUACUCUUUUGCUUGGAAGCAUAGUGUUAUCAGGGUUUAAGACAAUCUCCUUCAGCCUUCUGAUUUUUAUAGUUACUCAACCUACUUAUUUCAAAAACAUUGGCUUCCCUAGGAAUAUAAAUGUGGCUCUUGCACAUUUUCUGUGUUUAUCUAGCCAAGCCUUUGUUUAUUUAAAUAUACACAUGAAUAUCUUACAUAAACUGAAGAUAUGUUUGUAUCUUUCACCAUUAUCUGAGGUGGCAUUAUAUGGAUCCUGCUGUUAGCCCAUUUGUGAGAAAUCAACCUCUGACCAUUUUUAUUUCACCAGUCACUGUGCAAAUGAACUGAUGGACAGAGGACAGUGCCCGAGAUCACUCAGCCAGCAAAUGGCAGACGAAGGAUUUGAACCCAGCUCUGGGAUCUGACCUUUCCAUGCUGGGUCUCUGCUUUGGUAACCUAAAAACAGCAUGGAGAAUGAAUUGUAGUAGGGAUGGAAGCAUGGAAGCAGUGACAAUUAAUUGGCAAAUAUUUAUUAGUAGUAUUAGUAAACUUUUUUCUCACAGUAGACCCCUGACAUUUUUGAGGGUUUUGCCUGGCACUGCUGUGAACCCCCAAAUCUUUGUAUGUAGCACCAGGCAACAAGCAGAGAACAAAUCCCAGUUGCAGUCCUGACCCUGGAUGGAGUGCCAGGCUGGCUGUCAUCUUCCUGCCCUGUGAUGUAUAGCAAAUGCACUUCAAACCUGUGCCCCAACAGAAGUUCAAAUUACUAUAGGUCAUGAAAUUCAAGGUUGUUUUUUUUUUUAAUAUUUGAAACCUUGAAUGUUAAAUUGAAAAAUACUAAGUCUCUGUGUCUUUAGCAAUAAUGUAAAUAAGGACCACUAGCUCAUACUUUAAGAUGUACAGAGCAGUUUCACACCUUUCAUACAGACUGUCAGGCUAGCCCUUUAUGGGAGCCAGAGUUCUCAGCUGGAAUUAAGAAUAAGGUUGGGGGAGGGUUCCUUUCUUUUUUUUUUUUUUCUUCUUGAGAAGCAGAAUGAAGCAUUGGUUGAGAACAAAGACCCAAAAAUCAGACUGUCUUGCUUCAAAUCCUAGCUGCAUGGUCUGAUUACUUAACCUCUCUGUUGUUUAUUUCCUCAUCUAUAGAAUGGGGAUUAAGGUAGGGCCUCUCUUACAGAGUUAUUUUGAGAAUUAAAUGAGGUAAUACAGGGAAAUAAUUUGGCAUAAUAACUGGCAUUUAGAAAUUUCUCUCUGUACAUUUCUUUUUUCUUUUUUUGUUUUCCUGCUUCAAAGGAUACUUCUCUUUCUUUUAUUGAUUUAAUUCAUGAUGUUCAAAACAUAGUUGUACAAAGUCCAUAGUCUCACAGAAGAGAAAACUGAGAGUAAGAGAGAUUAAUACCUUACCUUUGAUCAUUCAGCAAAGUUGUAGUAAACUCAGUUCUAGAAUUCAAUUCCUAGUUUUGAUUAAUGCUCUAAAUCACUGUGCUCUUUACAGAGACUUGGAUAUAAAAACCCAUGGGAGUUUUACAGCUGUUCCUUUGCAUUCACCAAUUAAUUGAAAUACACAAAAAUAAAGACGACUUACAGAAAUGUUUUUAAAUAGUUAAAAACUUAUUUUAGAAAACAGAGUUCACUGCAGCAUUUUUUUUCAAAUUUCAAACACAUGUUAUUGUUUUACGGCUUGCUAGUUCACAAACAUAUGAAUAUGAAAAAUUUUAUAAUAUUUUAAUGUUAAAAUAUUCAGGCUAAAAUUACACAAAAGACCAAAGGUUUAACAAGAAAUAUAUAUUAAAUUCCAUUGCCUAAAAUAGACUUUUACUAUGUCUGUACAAAUUACUUUAAAUUAUAUAAAUAUUUGGAAUACGUCUAACCAUGAGACUCAACUAUGUGCCCUAAAAUGACACAAGCAGUGCCAUGCCAACUUUCGGCAUUUGUUUUUUUUCCAAAACACCUAGGAUCAUUAUUGGUUUGAAUGUGAGCUUCCCUUAUGCUCAGCAACUGGGUUUGGAAGAAAUGCCAGUGAAGGAGAGGAAGAGCUCCUCAGCCCCUUGGACGGAGGUGGUCAAGUCUGUGGGGCAUGGUUAAGAAGGCUUUUUGCCAACAUAUCCUUUGGAACAACCAUACCCGUGAUAACAGAGUGUGAAGACCUGAUUAUUUUCAAAUCUGAUGAAUGAGUCCAGCUGUUCUGUAGACCAGUAUGGGGUAUGUGAGAACAUGGGAUCACUGCAAAAGCAUGUUUAUCUCACUCCAUCAUUGCAGUGAACUUCAUCUCCUGGGAAUUUUCUUAAAGAACAAGUCUGGACAGACUCAUGGCUUAAUGACCAGGGGUCUCUACAAGCAAGUUGCUCCUAAGUUCCAGUUAUGCAAAGAUGGGGCCUGUGUUUAUAAGGAAAGAUAAGCUAGAGAGCCAUGCAUGCACCUUAAACAAAGAUAAUUUGUCACAUCACCACCAUUAAUCUCUUAGUUCCCAGCUCACUUGAUCCCAAGAGAUCUGUUUUGUAGAUUUAUUGCAUGUGAAGAAGUGUUUCUCCCAGUCCACUGAGUAAUCAGUUCCUUUAUUCAUCCUUUCAUUCAAAAACUCUUUAUUGAGCACCUCCAAAAUGCCAAUAUUAUACUUUGUUUUGGGGGAUAAAACUGUAAAUAAGACAUAACUCAAGCCUUUAGCCACAUACAGUCCAAUGAGGGAAUCAGAUUCCUAGACAACUAAACAUGUUGUGAUAAAUGUUAUGAUAAAGGUGAACACAAAGUGUGUGCCUAAUCUGUCUUCACAGUAAUGGUGGUGAGACCUCCAGAGUGGCCCUCCAAGAAGACCUCUCGGAUGAGGCCAGCUCUUGUGCUCUCCAGUACAGCAGCCACUCUCCACAUGUGGCUACUUAAAUUUGAAGUACAUUAAAAUAAAAUAAAAAACUCAGUUCUGAGUUGUACUGGCCAUAUGUGGCCAAUGGCUACCAUAUUGGACAGCACAGAUGAGGAACAUUUGCUAUUCAACAGCACUGGCCUAGGCAGAUUGGAAGGAUGAGAGAAGAGGGUUUUCUCUAGAGUGA